rnacentral:rRNA from 1 species
GCUCAGGACGAACGCUGGCGGCGCGCCUAACACAUGCAAGUCGAACGAGAGAUGAAGAGCUUGCUCUUCAAAUCGAGUGGCGAACGGGUGAGUAACGCGUGAGGAACCUGCCUCAAAGAGGGGGACAACAGUUGGAAACGACUGCUAAUACCGCAUAAGCCCACGGCUCGGCAUCGAGCAGAGGGAAAAGGAGUGAUCCGCUUUGAGAUGGCCUCGCGUCCGAUUAGCUGGUUGGUGAGGUAACGGCCCACCAAGGCGACGAUCGGUAGCCGGACUGAGAGGUUGAACGGCCACAUUGGGACUGAGACACGGCCCAGACUCCUACGGGAGGCAGCAGUA